rnacentral:rRNA from 1 species
GAGUUUGAUCGUGGCUCAGAACGAACGCUGGCGGCAUGCCUAACACAUGCAAGUCGAACGCCCUCUUCGGAGGGAGUGGCGCACGGGUGCGUAACGCGUGGGAACCUGCCUUUAGGUUCGGAAUAACUUCCCGAAAGGGAUGCUAAUACCGGAUGAUGUCGCAAGACCAAAGAUUUAUCGCCUUUAGAUGGGCCCGCGUUGGAUUAGCUAGUUGGUAGGGUAACGGCCUACCAAGGCGACGAUCCAUAGCUGGUCUGAGAGGAUGAUCAGCCACACUGGGACUGAGACACGGCCCAGACUCCUACGGGAGGCAGCAGUGGGGAAUAUUGGACAAUGGGCGAAAGCCUGAUCCAGCAAUGCCGCGUGAGUGAUGAAGGCCCUAGGGUUGUAAAGCUCUUUUACCCGAGAUGAUAAUGACAGUAUCGGGAGAAUAAGCUCCGGCUAACUCCGUGCCAGCAGCCGCAGU